rnacentral:rRNA from 1 species
UACGUAGGGUGCGAGCGUUGCCCGGAUUUAUUGGGCGUAAAGGGCGCGUAGGCGGCCACGCACGUCCGUUGUGAAAUCGCUCGGCUCAACUGGGCGGGGUCAGCGGAUACGGAGUGGCUGGAGCAAGCUAGGGGGCAAUGGAAUUCCCGGUGUAGUAGUGGAAUGCGUAGAUAUCGGGAGGAACACCAGUGGCGAAGGCGGUUGCCUGGAGCUUUGCUGACGCUGAUGCGCGAAAGCGUGGGGAGCGAUCCGG